UGGGGAAUCUUAGACAAUGGGGGAAACCCUGAUCUAGCCAUGCCGCGUGAGCGAUGAAGGCCUUAGGGUUGUAAAGCUCUUUCAGCUGGGAAGAUAAUGACGGUACCAGCAGAAGAAGCCCCGGCUAACUCCGUGCCAGCAGCCGCGGUAAUACGGAGGGGGCUAGCGUUGUUCGGAAUUACUGGGCGUAAAGCGCACGUAGGCGGAUUAGUCAGUCAGAGGUGAAAUCCCAGGGCUCAACCCUGGAACUGCCUUUGAUACUGCUAGUCUUGAGGUCGAGAGAGGUGAGUGGAAUUCCGAGUGUAGAGGUGAAAUUCGUAGAUAUUCGGAGGAACACCAGUGGCGAAGGCGGCUCACUGGCUCGAU
rnacentral:rRNA from 1 species